AACACUUCUCAGCCUUUUGGCUAAGAUCAAGUGUAGUAUCUGUUCUUAUCAGUUUAAUACCUGAUUUUUUUUUUUUUUUGAGGAGAGCAGUGGAUGUCAUCUACCUUGA
rnacentral:snRNA from 1 species